rnacentral:rRNA from 1 species
GACGAACGCUGGCGGCGUGCUUAACACAUGCAAGUCGAACGGAAAGGCCCCUUUGGGGGUCCUCGAGUGGCGAACGGGUGAGUAACACGUGAGUAACCUGCCCUUGACUUCGGGAUAACUUCAGGAAACUGGGGCUAAUACCGGAUAGGAAUCCUUGCUGCAUGGUGGGGGUUGGAAAGCUUCGGCGGUUUUGGAUGGACUCGCGGCUUAUCAGCUUGUUGGUGGGGUAGUGGCUUACCAAGGCUUUGACGGGUAGCCGGCCUGAGAGGGCGACCGGCCACAUUGGGACUGGGAUACGGCCCAGACUCCUACGGGAGGCAGCAGUGGGGAAUAUUGCACAAUGGGCGGAAGCCUGAUGCAGCAACGCCGCGUGCGGGAUGACGGCCUUCGGGUUGUAAACCGCUUUCAGCAGGGGCGAAGCUUGUGGUGACGGUACCUGCAGAAGAAGCACCGGCUAACUACGUG